rnacentral:rRNA from 1 species
UACGUAGGUGGCAAGCGUUAUCCGGAAUUAUUGGGCGUAAAGCGUGCGCAGGCUGUUUUGUAAGUCAGAUGUGAAAUCCCUGGGCUCAACCUAGGAACUGCGUUUGAAACUACAAGGCUAGAGUGUAGCAGAGGGGGGUAGAAUUCCACGUGUAGCAGUGAAAUGCGUAGAGAUGUGGAGGAAUACCAAUGGCGAAGGCAGCCCCCUGGGUUAACACUGACGCUCAUGCACGAAAGCGUGGGGAGCAAACAGG